CUACCAUGGCUUUCACGGGUAACGGAGGAUUAGGGUUCGAUUCCGGAGAGGGAGCCUGAGAAACGGCUACCACAUCUAAAGAAGGCAGCAGGCGCGUAAAUUACCCAAUUCUGACUCAGAGAGGUAGUGACAAGAAAUAACGGGUCGGGACAAAGUCCCGGGACUGCAAUGAGACGAAUCUACACACCUUAUCGAGCAACAAUUGGAGGGCAAGUCUGGUGCCAGCAGCCGCGGUAAUUCCAGCUCCAAUAGCGUAUAUUAAAGUUGUUGCAGUUAAAAAGCUCGUAGUUGGAUCUCUGGUCGGAUAGCGUUGCCCUCAAGUUGAGUGUGCAAAGCCGUCCGUCCAUCCUUCUGUUAACUCUUAAGGCUUUUGCGGUCUUCUGAGGGCUCAGAUAUUUUACCUUGAGAAAAUUAGAGUGUUUCAGGCAGGCUAGCGCCGGAAUACAUUAGCAUGGAAUAAUAGAAUAGGACUUUUGCCUCUUCUGUUGGUCUAAGGGGUUCAAGUAAUGAUUAAUAGGGAUAGUUGGGGGCAUUAGUACUUAACUGUCAGAGGUGAAAUUCUCGGAUUUGUUAAAGACUAACUUAUGCGAAAGCAUUUGCCAAGGAUGUUUUCAUUAAUCAA
rnacentral:rRNA from 1 species